UACGGAGGGUGCGAGCGUUGUCCGGAAUCACUGGGCGUAAAGGGCGCGUAGGCGGCUUCUCAAGCGUGUGGUGAAAGUCCGGGGCUCAACCCCGGAUCGGCCGUGGCGACUCGUGGGCUGGAGCACUGUAGAGGCGGGUGGAAUUCCGGGUGUAGCGGUGGAAUGCGUAGAGAUCCGGAAGAACACCAGUGGCGAAGGCGGCCCGCUGGGCAGUGGCUGACGCUGAGGCGCGACAGCGUGGGGAGCAAACAGG
rnacentral:rRNA from 1 species